rnacentral:rRNA from 1 species
CACGUAGGGGGCAAGCGUUGUCCGGAUUUAUUGGGCGUAAAGAGCUCGUAGGUGGUUCGGUAAGUCAGGUGUGAAACCUCCAGGCUCAACCUGGAGACGCCACUUGAUACUGCUGUGACUGGAGUCCGGUAGGGGAGCGUGGAAUUCCUGGUGUAGCGGUGAAAUGCGCAGAUAUCAGGAGGAACACCGGUGGCGAAGGCGGGUCUCUGGGCCGAUACUGACGCUGAGGAGCGAAAGCGUGGGGAGCGAACAGG